UAUCUUUCGUGCAGAUGUAUCAAGAUCCUUGGCGCAAGCUUUGGAUGAACUUCUGCUUCUGCGGUCGGCAUUCUUACAGGAGAACCCAAGAUUCAUUGUACCUACUGUAUGCAUUUCAAAACUGAAUAAUUGAUAGUAACAAGUAAAUAUUUGAAGUUGCAGCCAAAUGCUGUGCCUUCUCUGCUGCAAGAGCUACAUGUCACCAUUGAAGCAAGGACCAGCUCGACUCCUGCAGUAGGAGUCCAGCCUCGUCCAGUCGUCGCCGCUCGCCAAGACCAGCCGGACUCCUGCAAUAGGGGUCCAGGCUGACCCGUUCGUCCAGUAACCGCCGCUCGUCAGCACCAGCUGGGCUCCUGUAGUAGGGGUCCAGCCUCGUCCAGUCGCCGCCGCUCGCCAAGACCAGCUGGGCUCCUGUAGUAUGGGGCUAGGAUGGCCCGUUCAUCAACCGGUCCUGAAGUCACAUCGCCGUCAGCCAGCCGAACUCAGUACAUAAGUCACCAACCCUGAAUGUUGCCAGCCAAAGUCGGCAGUUUCCUUCGGACAGUCAUCUCACCAGUGUUGUACAGUGUACGAGGUUAGUGACGCAGUUAAAUGCGUCAAUUAAAUGCGAGGACGUGCGCUUGUAUGCAGCGUUUUGUCAUGUUGAGCUGCAUGGGUGUCGAUUUUCACCGAAUUGAGGGUGCCCACUGCCCGGGCGCAGCAAAUCCGCCGCUGCCUUAGCGGUGACCUUGACCCGCACCGUCUGUUGGGGCUCCAAAGCCAAGCCAGCCGAGCCGGCGGGGAAUCUAAAGAGCUUGAGCACCCCCAACCCGGCGGAAAUUGACACCUAUGUUGAGCUGUAUGGAUGCGUUUUAGCCUUCCGCCGUGGUGGUAAAUAGCAGCCUACAUGCAGAAUUAGGCAGGCUUAUUAGCGGACUCAUUAUUGGAUUCAUUGUGUCACGUUUGUCGGCACGUGUAAGAUGUGCUUAACUGCCAUUAGCUCUCGGCCUGGCGACUUCUGGGGACCACGUAAUGGGGAU